UACGAAGGGGGCUAGCGUUGUUCGGAAUUACUGGGCGUAAAGCGCGCGUAGGCGGCCGUUUAAGUCAGGGGGGAAAUGCCGGGGCUCAACCUCGGAACUGCCUUUGAUACUGGACGUCUGGAGUUCGGGAGAGGUGAGUGGAAUUCCGAGUGUAGAGGUGAAAUUCGUAGAUAUUCGGAGGAACACCUGUGGCGAAGGCGGCUUUCUGGGCCUUACCUGACGCUGAGACGCGAAAGCGUGGGGAGCAAACAGG
rnacentral:rRNA from 1 species